GCGUAGAGGGCUCGCAGGCGGUUUCUUAAGUCUGAUGUGAAAGCCCCCGGCUCAACCGGGGAGGGUCAUUGGAAACUGGGAAACUUGAGUGCAGAAGAGGAGAGUGGAAUUCCACGUGUAGCGGUGAAAUGCGUAGAGAUGUGGAGGAACACCAGUGGCGAAGGCGACUCUCUGGUCUGUAACUGACGCUGAGGAGCGAAAGCGUGGGGAGCGAACAGGAUUAGAUACCCUGGUAGUCCACGCCGUAAACGAUGAGUGCUAAGUGUUAGGGGGUUUCCGCCCCUUAGUGCUGCAGCUAACGCAUUAAGCACUCCGCCUGGGGAGUACGGUCGCAAGACUGAAACUCAAAGGAAUUGACGGGGGCCCGCACAAGCGGUGGAGCAUGUGGUUUAAUUCGAAGCAACGCGAAGAACCUUACCAGGUCUUGACAUCCUCUGACAACCCUAGAGAUAGGGCUUUCCCUUCGGGGACAGAGUGACAGGUGGUGCAUGGUUGUCGUCAGCUCGUGUCGUGAGAUGUUGGGUUAAGUCCCGCAACGAGCGCAACCCUUGAUCUUAGUUGCCAGCAUUCAGUUGUGCACUCUAAGGUGACUGCCGGUGACACACCGGAGGAAGGUGUGGAUGACAUCACAUCAUCAUGCGCCUUAUGACCUGUGCUACACACGUGCUACAAU
rnacentral:rRNA from 1 species